GCUAUUUCAAAAAUUAAUCUGCAAGAAUACCUGCAUUGCGAUCUUUAAGAGGUAAAAAGAAAGAACUUCUUCUUAAGAAAGAACUUUUCGUUCAAACUCGGUUGUUGAGUAAUUAAUUUUAAGACACCCAGUAUAUGAUCCAUGGCUGGAUUUGUGGAUGGAUCUGCAACCUCGAAAAUCCAUCCACGCGAAGUUGCGAGAUGACAAAAAUUAUAUUUACGGCGAGAACUGCCUCAGGAUAAGAAACCUGAAGAGGAUCUUAAUGUAGAAGCAAAAUAAAAAUACCUACAAGACGAAAACGUUCCGCUGACUUUCUCGCCAUUAAUAACUAUUCACCAUCCCUAGUUGACUCUAUCCUGAAUAGAACUAGGAGAAGGCUUAGAGUUGCUGCAGCUGCGGACCACUUUCUAAUCCCACUGUUUCCAAGUCUUAUUACUACUCCAUUCCUUACACAAGUCGGAUCUCUCAGGGGGUUGCUAACUUUGUUAAGGGUAUGGAUCAUGUCUACAUUUCCUUCAGGUCUGACAAUAGCUUGGCGAGUAAUCUGUGUCACAAUAAGGAUGCCAUUAACGCUUUGGAUAAGAGUGGUAUAUAAUACUGAAUUGUGCCUCUUGUAAUGUUUCAUAUAUUGGUAAAAUAAUGAGAAAGCUGGGGUCCGAAUUAAGGAGCAUCUGAGGUACCCUGACAUAUCUAAUUUUGAGCAUCAUUGGUCUUUCUCUGGCCACAGCUUUGUACCUAAUGAUAAUGCGAUGAUUUUACAUAACGUUUUUGAUUUCUCCUUUAGAUUGAAGCUGCUGGAGAAUUUGGAGAUUCAUAAGGGGCCGCGAGGUUGGUUCGAAGUGCGUGAACACACACACAAGCCAACUUAAUCUGAUUUCUUAAUUUUCUCUUAUUUUUAUAUGAUUGUACGGCUUUCACUCGGUAACGAUCCCAAAAGUCAUCACUUAAUAUUAUAAGCAUAUUAUUGCCCUUUUGUCUUUACAAUACCUUACUUGUUCUGAUCUCAGGUAUUUAAUUUUUAAGUUUACCGUUAAUUUAAUUUUUAUUUAAUUUAAUUAAUGUUUUGAUUGCCAGUAACUACUGAAGCCAGUCACCGAACCCUCUCAUUGCCCUUUGAAUUAUAUAUAUAUUUUUUAUAUUUAAUUGCGCAAUCUUUCCAUUUAAAUAACGAAAUAUAUUUUUGAGUUUUUCAGCAUCUGAGAAUUUGUUCAGUAUUUUGCACGGUUAAAAAAAAGAAGAGAAUCUCCUUUUUGUCAACCAAAUGUGAAAUGUUUCUGCCCGCUGUUCUUGGGCCAGCUUUAUCAGACUGUCAGUCUCCGUACUGAUAGGACCGAUCAGUCAAGUUCUUUUAUUUUUAUUUUUUUUUGGUUUUGUUUUAAUUUCAACUUUAGUUUGUUUUCUUGUAAGUUUGUCGUAUACAAUUUUAACCAUUUUAGGCCGGUUUAAGCAGUUUUUAACCAGUUUUGACUAUUUUUGACCGUUGAUUGACAUGUUUUAUUCGGUACUCUUAGGAAUGUUUGCUUCUGAUUUGACAACAGCCUUGAUGAUGACGUAAUUGUCGGAAGCGCUUGGCCUUAAUUGAUAAUUACCCAAGUCUUCGGGGGAACUGAUCCAAUCAAUCUAUGGAGAGGCGUGAGACAGAAAGAUACAGUAUACCCUAAAAUAUUCAGAUUUGGAGAAACAGAUCUGGAGGAUAUCUUUAAGACACUUGAAUGGGAGGAGAAGGGUGUUAACAUCAAUGAUGAAUUUAAAUAACCUGAGAUUUACAGAAUAUUUCAGCUUGGACGGAAAACAUAUGGAAAACUUAGUGAUGUAUUUAUUUCCAAAUUUUCACAAUACCUUAAAACACAAGUUUUUGAGCAAUGUGUCCUAACGACCUUAACGUACGCCGCAUAACCAUGUAGCCUUCAUGAGGGGACCAUGGGGCGUUUGAGGAUUGCUCAAAGAAAAAUUGAGAGGAAAAUGUUGAGAAAACGAUUACAAAAGCGAAAGACAAACGAAUGGAUGAGACAAAUGCAAAAGUGAUAAAGAUAGCAGAACGGGUGAUGAGGCUAAAAUGAAAAUGAGCUGGUCAUUUGAUGAGGACAGUUGAUAAUAGAUGGACCAAGAAGACAACUGAGUGGACGCCCAGAACAACUCAAAGGAACCCAGGACGACCAACAACGAGGUGGAAAGAUGACAUCCAGAGACUGGCAGGUACCCAAUCGAUGGGUCAGAGAGUCAUCGAAUCAGACGCCCGGUAGAAGUAAAUGGCGACGAAUAGGAGAGGCCUAUGUUCAGAGACGGAUAGACAUAUGCUGAGGAUGAUGAUGAUGAUGAUGAUGAUGAUCAAGCAUGACCUAAGUUAGUGUAUAUACAUAUAAACAAACAGUAUUAAUUGAAAUAGUUAAUGGAAAUAUAGCAUUUUUAAAUAUUAGUUAUCAACAGAUUCUCAUAUUUGACCAAGAUGUUUGUUUGCAUAAGUUUAAAAAGGUCAUAGCAAUAUGUAUUUACGUAAUGUUAAUUAGGAAGACUAACUUGAAAAACAUUGUUGCCGUCUUUCUCAUAUAGUUUUUUGCAAAUUUCUCAGUUUUUAAUAACAAUGAAUGUUUUUGCUAUUUUUUUUGUACUUCUAUAAAGCCCCAAACAACACCUCCAUAGUAAUGACGCAAACUUUGAAUCACCCUGUAUGGUAGGUACACCAAAAUGAGAACGUAGAGAUUGUGAAUAAAAAUAUGAAACAGUCCGUAAUACUUAAAGCAAUAAAGUUAUUGGUAUUAUAUUUAUGCCUGUUUAUGAGUGAUGAUUUUUUUUCUGGCAAUAUAGAAAUGUUGAAUAGAAAUGGUUAAUGCUCCUAGAGCCAUACGUUACAUUACACCUGUAUGUUAAUGCAAUUGAUCAAUUUCCUAAUUAGAUUAUUCCGAAAUCGCUUUAACGCAUCUAUAAAACUCAUUAGAACCUCUCUUGUUUUAUAUCCUUGUUUGUACAUGCCUGAGUAAAAGCUAUAUCCAGAUUUUUUCGAACUGCUCUUGGUUAAUCCUUGUAUUACUCAUAUAAAGUGGAUAAUUCCAUUUAUCUGUAAGUAUUAAUUAAUACAAUAUUGUUAAUGGAACUGUUCCACAUCGUUUAUCUUUUUAUUUGCCUUAUCUCAAGCACUAUAAACAUUUUUACAUUUGCAGUUGCCUAAUUAAAAAAGACGAGGCGUGAAGUAUGGAGUCAGCUUAAUUUAGGCAUGUAGACAAGAAUAAGUGUCUCACUAGUCAAUAAGUGAAUGAACCGAGUAAACUUUGAAAUUCGGAGAAAUAUGGAAAGUUUCCUGGAGUUUAGUGAAACAUAGACUACAACUCAUAUUUCAAAUGAUCAUUAUAGUUGCACUUAUCAAUUUGGAAAGCAGUUUUCAUUAAUUUUUUGAAAAAGUGUUUUAAUGUAAGACUUUUUAGUAUCAUGGAUUAUAUCAGCCACAUAAAGAAUAUAUUUCUCUUCCAUUUGCGAGAUGCUUCAAGGAAUGUGCCUGAAUGUGAUUGGAGAAUCGAGCCAACAUCCUCAUUUUGAUGACGUCAAGACUAGACUAGGGAGUGUUGGAAUGACGUCAAACCUGACCCUCUCGCUUCCAGAGAAAACUCAGUGCCAGUUGGGGCGCUGAGAGAUUUAUGUCAACAAAUAUCGAUUUUCGCAUUUAGGUUUGAUGUCGCUUUUAUCUCCGCAGUUGGUGGUUUGCCAAAAAGGCGUUACAUAUUAUACGACCGAUUUUAACGAUUAUCGAUUUAUAUGUUUCAGUAUUUGGUUGAAUAUAAAAUACGACGUUAUACCACCUUAAAAAUGCAUACAUACAUUCAACAUAUAAUGCCAGUUUUUAUGCAAAAACCAGCAAUGUUUUCUCUGAAAUUGGCUCCAUAUAAAAACAUUGUUGAUCUUUAAUUGUAUGUUAAAAUUUCUACACAGAAAAUGCUUUUUUGUUGCAAAAAUCGCAUUAAAUAAAUAUGAAUUCUUACAAAUAUCCUAUUUUAAGAAUCAAAAAAGGAAUAUUUUAAGUAGUAAA